CAGGAAGUAGUUUAAUCAAAAUCUUAGCUUUGGGAGCCAAGGAUGUGAGUUUAACCCCUCUCUUUCCUGA
rnacentral:tRNA from 3 species